rnacentral:rRNA from 1 species
GACGAACGCUGGCGGCGUGCCUAAUACAUGCAAGUAGAACGCUGAAGAGAGGAGCUUGCUCUUCUUGGAUGAGUUGCGAACGGGUGAGUAACGCGUAGGUAACCUGCCUUGUAGCGGGGGAUAACUAUUGGAAACGAUAGCUAAUACCGCAUAACAAUGGAUGACACAUGUCAUUUAUUUGAAAGGGGCAAUUGCUCCACUACAAGAUGGACCUGCGUUGUAUUAGCUAGUAGGUGAGGUAACGGCUCACCUAGGCGACGAUACAUAGCCGACCUGAGAGGGUGAUCGGCCACACUGGGACUGAGACACGGCCCAGACUCCUACGGGAGGCAGCAGUAGGGAAUCUUCGGCAAUGGGGGCAACCCUGACCGAGCAACGCCGCGUGUGUGAAGAAGGUUUUCGGAUCGUAAAGCUCUGUUGUAAGUCAAGAACGAGUGUGAGAGUGGAAAGUUCACACUGUGACGGUAGCUUACCAGAAAGGGACGGCUAACUACGUG